rnacentral:rRNA from 1 species
GAUGAACGCUAGCGGGAGGCCUAACACAUGCAAGCCGAGCGGUAUUGUUUCUUCGGAAAUGAGAGAGCGGCGUACGGGUGCGUAACACGUGUGCAACCUGCCUUUAUCUGGGGGAUAGCCUUUCGAAAGGAAGAUUAAUACUCCAUAAUAUAUUGAACGGCAUCGUUUAAUAUUGAAAGCUCCGGCGGAUAGAGAUGGGCACGCGCAAGAUUAGCUAGUUGGUGAGGUAACGGCUCACCAAGGCGAUGAUCUUUAGGGGGCCUGAGAGGGUGAUCCCCCACACUGGUACUGAGACACGGACCGGACUCCUACGGGAGGCAGCAGUGAGGAAUAUUGGUCAAUGGGUGCAAGCCUGAACCAGCCAUCCCGCGUGAAGGACGACUGCCCUAUGGGUUGUAAACUUCUUUUGUAUAGGGAUAAACCUACCCUCGAGAGGGUAGCUGAAGGUACUAUACGAAUAAGCACCGGCUAACUCCGUG